rnacentral:rRNA from 1 species
AACGAACGCUGGCGGCGCGCCUAACACAUGCAAGUCGAACGAGAAGGCGUAGCAAUACGCUUGUAGAGUGGCGAACGGGUGAGUAAUACGUGGGUGACCUACCCUCGAGUGGGGAAUAACCCGCCGAAAGGCGGGCUAAUGCCGCGUACGCUUCCGUCCUCACGGGGGACGGAAGGAAAGCUGUACCGUGGGUACGGCGCUCAAGGAUGGGCUCACGUCCUAUCAGCUUGUUGGUAGGGUAACGGCCACCAAGGCUACGACGGGUAGCUGGUCUGAGAGGACGAUCAGCCACACUGGCACUGCGACACGGGCCAGACUCCUACGGGAGGCAGCAGUGAGGAAUAUUGCGCAAUGGGCGAAAGCCUGACGCAGCGACGCCGCGUGGGGAUGAAGGUC